ensembl:lncRNA
GAGGACCUGAAGGUUUGGGUGGGCAACAUCACCGGCAGCAUCACGGAGCACGAGGACAUCGCCAAAUGGGGGCAGCCCCAACCAACUACCUCAUCCACCGACGAGGGCACGCGGCAAGACGGCAGCAAGGCGGAAAACCGGUCAGAGCGAGGCGGUGAGCGCUCGGACCGCGGCGACCGGAUCGAGCCGGCGGAAAACGAGACGGAGAAGGAGAAGGAGAAGGGCGAGCGAUCGGAGCGGGGAGGGAAGUCGGACUCUAAGCGCUCGGAAAAGUCCGCACCCUUUAUGCAUCUGAAUUGGGUGUGAACGCCACAUCCAUGGAAUCAUUUCACACGCAUGUCGGACACAACAAAGCCAGAGUCGGAAGAGCGGCGUUUUGGACGUGCGUGGCGACGCGGUCCAGCGGCCAUCUGUCGGAUUAUGCAUCCGGCGGCCUAAUGAACACUUUGUUGCUGGACACAGGCCUGUUGCCGAGUUGAUGGUCAGUGGUGUUUGGUGAUCCAGCGGAGGGACGUCAGAGCCAGAAGGUUAAAGCAUUAUCUCCUUAGGUAGAAGAUGUUUUUACUGGAAGCUGUUUCAGGAUUAGUUUGUUUAAAAAACAUCAGCCGAUUCAACGACAAGAAAUUUAUUUUAAGAAAAACCUCUGACAGUAAAAAGUCGGAGUCGGAAAUUGGGGAUGGGAUUUUUUUUACAGUGGUUUUCUAAUGUUGUGUAGAUUCAAAUAUUUAAUUGAUUCAAACAUUAAAUUUAAUUGAAUUCAUGCAUUUUGUAAAACGUUUUUUAAAGAACAGUUGGUAAAAUCGACCAUCACGUUUACACAUAUGUAUCGAUGCUUUGAAAUACCCCGUCUUCUCUUUACAACCGGCUCCCAUUGCGCUCCUCAUUCGUCACUCGUCACAAACUGCCUGGAAUUUAUAACAUACUCAAUACUUGUCAAUGGUGCUCCGACUACAGUGCCCACAAUCGAGCUUAAGUGAGUAUAGUUAUUAUUUCAUUUUUAUGUUUCUGAGGACAAUCAAUUUAAAAAACGAUUGGAUCUCCCUCAUCCCAGGACCCCAGAGCACCACUGUCUAUCUGCCUCAGCCCGUUUCUCUGUCAGUAUGCCUGCCCACAGCAGCCUGAUGAUGUGUAAAUGUAUGGAAUGAG